UACGUAGGGCGCAAGCGUUAUCCGGAAUUACUGGGGCGUAAAGGGCUCGUAGGCGGCCAACUAAGUCGGACGUGAAAUCCCUCAGCUUAACUGGGGAACUGCGUCCGAUACUGGAUGGCUUGGAUUCGGGAGAGGGAUGCGGAAUUCCAGGUGUAGCGGUGAAAUGCGUAGAUAUCUGGAGGAACACCGGUGGCGAAGGCGGCAUCCUGGACCGAUAUUGACGCUGAGGAGCGAAAGCCAGGGGGAGCAAACGGG
rnacentral:rRNA from 1 species